UACGUAGGGUGCGAGCGUUGUCCGGAAUUAUUGGGCGUAAAGAGCUCGUAGGCGGUGUGUCACGUCGAUCGUGAAAACUUGGGGCUUAACUCUGAGCUUGCGGUCGAUACGGGCAUCACUGGAGUUCGGCAGGGGAGACUGGAAUUCCUGGUGUAGCGGUGAAAUGCGCAGAUAUCAGGAAGAACACCCGUGGCGAAAGCGGCUCUCUGGAACGGUACUGACGCUGAGACGCGAAAGCGUGGGGAGCAAACAGG
rnacentral:rRNA from 1 species